rnacentral:rRNA from 1 species
ACACACGAUCGUAUCUAACGGAGAACUUGGAGCCCCGUCAGCUCUCCUCUGAAAACGCUGCUGCUGGAUCAGUAGGUAGUUGGGUUACCACUAGCGAACAUCUGGUGUUGUGUGUU